rnacentral:rRNA from 1 species
UGGGGAAUAUUGGACAAUGGGCGAAAGCCUGAUCCAGCCAUGCCGCGUGUGUGAAGAAGGUCUUCGGAUUGUAAAGCACUUUAAGUUGGGAGGAAGGGCAGUAAGCGAAUACCUUGCCCCUUUGACGUUACCGACAGAAUAAGCACCGGCUAACUCUGUGCCAGCAGCCGCGGUAAUACAGAGGGUGCAAGCGUUAAUCGGAAUUACUGGGCGUAAAGCGCGCGUAGGUGGUUCGUUAAGUUGAAUGUGAAAGCCCCGGGCUCAACCUGGGAACUGCAUCCAAAACUGGCGAGCUAGAGUAGGGCAGAGGGUGGUGGAAUUUCCUGUGUAGCGGUGAAAUGCGUAGAUAUAGGAAGGAACACCAGUGGCGAAGGCGACCACCUGGGCUCAUACUGACACUGAGGUGCGAAAGCGUGGGGAGCAAACAGG